rnacentral:rRNA from 1 species
UACGUAGGGCGCAAGCGUUAUCCGGAAUUAUUGGGCGUAAAGGGCUCGUAGGCGGUUUGUCGCGUCGGGAGUGAAAUCCACUGGCUUAACUGGUGGCUUGCUUUCGAUACGGGCAGACUGGAGGUAUGCAGGGGAGAACGGAAUUCCUGGUGUAGCGGUGAAAUGCGCAGAUAUCGGGAGGAACACCGGUGGCGAAGGCGGUUCUCUGGGCCUUACCUGACGCUGAGGAGCGAAAGCGUGGGGAGCGAACAGG